UACGUAGGGUGCGAGCGUUGUCCGGAAUUAUUGGGCGUAAAGAGCUCGUAGGCGGUCUGUCGCGUCGGUCGUGAAAACUUAGGGCUUAACCCUGAGCUUGCGGUCGAUACGGGCAUGACUGGAGUUCGGUAGGGGAGACUGGAAUUCCUGGUGUAGCGGUGAAAUGCGCAGAUAUCAGGAGGAACACCGGUGGCGAAGGCGGGUCUCUGGGCCGAUACUGACGCUGAGGAGCGAAAGCUAGGGGAGCAAACAGG
rnacentral:rRNA from 1 species